rnacentral:misc_RNA from 1 species
CUGCGGAAGGAUCAUUGUCGAAUCCUCAACGAAAACCCGCGAACACGUUCGAAAAUCCGUGUCGGGCGUCCGGGUAAAACCGGCGCCCCUCGCCCCCCGCCCGGCCGAACGGCGCGCCGCAAUCGGCCGACGGUCGCGCCGGGCAACCGAAACCAUAAUCGGCGCGGGAAGCGCCAAGGACUUACGGAAUGGGAUGCCUUCCCGCGGAGAGGGCCGUUCGCGGAAUCCUCGCCCCGGGGCUCCAAGGGCGCCCGAAACGAAACGUCGCACGACUCUCGGCAACGGAUAUCUUGGCUCUCGCAUCGAUGAAGAACGUAGCAAACUGCGAUACUUGGUGUGAAUUGCAGAAUCCCGUGAACCAUCGAGUCUUUGAACGCAAGUUGCGCCCGAAGCCGUUAGGCCGAGGGCACGUCUGCCUGGGCGUCACGCAUCGCGUCGCCCCCCCCACUCCGCGGAGGGGAGGGGCGGAAGUUGGCUUCCCGCGCUCCGUCGCGGCCAGCUUAAAACAAGGUUCCCCCGCCGCGGACGUCGCGACGAGUGGUGGUCGUCGAGAUUGAACGCGAGUCGCCGGCGAGAGCCGCGUCGGGGAGAGCCCWCGGACCCUCCGGGCGAGAGUCCCUUCCUCCGGGGAGGGGAGAAUCUCGCCACGACCGCGACCCCCAGGUCAGGC